UACGAAGGGGGCUAGCGUUGCUCGGAAUCACUGGGCGUAAAGCGCACGUAGGCGGCGCGGUAAGUCGGGUGUGAAAUCUUGGAGCUUAACUCCGAAACUGCAUUCGAUACUGCCGUGCUUGAGGACUGGAGAGGAGACUGGAAUUUACGGUGUAGCGGUGAAAUGCGUAGAUAUCGUAAGGAAGACCAGUGGCGAAGGCGGGUCUCUGGACAGUUCCUGACGCUGAGGCACGAAGGCCAGGGGGAGCAAACGGGG
rnacentral:rRNA from 1 species